rnacentral:lncRNA from 1 species
CCGCCAUAUGUGUACCAUAUUCCCACGAUCAUCAAGCUUCUGCAACCAUCAACUCAUUUGGAAGUCUCGACCUUGCUUGAGUCAUAUAGCUUGAAGGAGGAACCAUCAUCUUUUCACAUCAAACCCGCCGUAUGUGCACCAUAUUCCCACCACCACCAAGCUUCUGCAACCACCAACCCAUUUGGAAGUCUCGACCUUGCUUGAGUCAUGUAGCUUGGAGGGCUUAUUCCAUCAUUUGGUAAUCAGAGCUUAGGUUAUUGUGUUUGUCUUUGUGUUUUCCUAACCUUUUCUUGUUGUAACUAUUAUGGAAUGGUCUAAAUUAACCUCCCU